rnacentral:rRNA from 1 species
CAGCAGCCGCGGUAAUACAGAGGAUGCAAGCGUUAUCCGGAAUGAUUGGGCAUAAAGUGUCUGUAGGUGGCUUUUCAAGUCCGCCGUCAAAUCCCAGGGCUCAACCGUGGACAGGCGGUGGAAACUACCAAGCUGGAGUAUGGUAGGGGCAGAGGGAAUUUCCGGUGGAGCGGUGAAAUGCGUCGAGAUCGGAAAGAACACCAACAGCGAAAUCACUCUGCUAGGCCGACACUGACACUGAGAGACGAAAUCUAGGGGAGCAAAUGGGAUUAGAUACCCCCGUAGUCCCUGUCUCUUAUAC